CCUACGGGUGGCAGCAGUGGGGAAUAUUGCACAAUGGGGGAAACCCUGAUGCAGCGACGCCGCGUGAGUGAAGAAGUAUUUCGGUAUGUAAAGCUCUAUCAGCAGGGAAGAACAUGCAGGUACCUGAUUAAGAAGCACCGGCUAACUACGUGCAAGCAGCCGCGGUAAUACGGAGGGGGCAAGCGUUAUCCGGAUUUACUGGGUGGAAAGGGAGCGUGGACGGUGAUGCAAGUCAGAUGUGAAAGCCCGGGGCUCAACUCCGGAACUGCCUUUGAAACUGUGUGACUGGAGUGCAGGAGAGGUAAGCGGAAUUCCUGGUGUAGCGGUGAAAUGCGUAGAUAUCAGGAGGAACACCAGUGGCGAAGGCGGCUAACUGGACUGUAACUGACGUUGAGGCGCGAAAGCGUGGGGAGCAAACAGGAUUAGAUACCCGGGUAGUC
rnacentral:rRNA from 1 species